GGUGUUGUGGCUCAGUGGUAGAGCACUCACCUAGGUCGUGCGAGGCCCUGGGUUUGAUCCUUAGCACCACUU
rfam:Ictidomys tridecemlineatus contig062919, whole genome shotgun sequence.